rnacentral:rRNA from 1 species
CACGUUGGAACCUGCCCAAAGUGAGGAAUAAGCCACCGAAAGGUGGUCUAAUACUUCAUAAUAUCCAUCUCGUAUGGAUUAAAGCUUUAUGCGCUUUGGAGGGGCCUGCGUAACAUUAGCUAGUUGGUGAGGUAAAGCUCACCAAGGCUUCGAUGUUUAACUGGUUUGAGAGGAUGACCAGUCACACUGGGACUGAGAUACGGCCCAGACUCCUACGGGAGGCAGCAGUAAGGAAUCUUCCACAAUGGGGCAACCCUGAUGGAGCAAUACCGCGUGCAGGAUGAAGCGUUUCGGCGUGUAAACUGCUUUUAUCACCGAAGAUUAUGACUGUAGGUGAAGAAUAAGGACCGGCUAACUACGUG